rnacentral:lncRNA from 1 species
CUUGGCUUUGAAUUAGCUCACCUAUACUACCCCGUGGACCCCCACCCUGUCCUAUUCUCUUCCCUCUAGUCAGGCCUCCGCCCAUCUUAUCCCCAUCCCGCCCCUUUUGGAGGUCCACCCAUUUACAGCUUCCCAGCCCCCGAAAAUCUGGGGGUGGGGAGAGGAGUCAUCUCAAUGUCCACUAUAGGUGCAAUGAUGAGGGUGAUGGUUAAUGGAGGGGAGGGGUAGAGCUCUGGGGCGGGGUGAGUGUCUCGAGGUCAGCGAUCAGUCUACCCUAAAACUCGAGAUUUUAGGAUUAGGCAUUUGAGACCUUUAAAUCGUGCAACAUCCCCAUUUCCCAGAUGGAGAAAUUGAGCUGCGGCUACGCCAAGGCCUGUCCAAGGUCAUACAAGGAAGGGAAGUUCCCCUUGGUGGCUGUUGGGGAACUUCCUUCCCGACCACUAUUUCCCAAUUCAAGAGGCGUGUCCAGGAGGGCUGCUUCUACCGGAUCUUUCCUAGGUGGAUCCAACCUGUCCAUCCCCUCUUGACUCAAUGGAAAGUAACAUGAAUGCAGGCAGCUCCCAUAUAACUACUCCAGUCAUACACUAUUGUUCAAAUACUGGAUCACAUAAUGAUAACAGAAAUCCAAUGACAAACUACACUUUCACCUAUGUGGCUCCAAGAAGCUGUAGCAUGUGCAGCAGCCACAUCUCAGUAAACUCAUUUCAGCUAACAGACUAAACCAAGUUGAAGAUAACAGACAGGAUCAAUGAGUUAAGGAUCAACCUUAAGGAUACCUUUGGAAACUCUUCAGUUUCCUUCUGAGGACUUUUCAGUCAGAGACCUCCAUUGGGUACUCUCCAGUUUUGAUUCAUUUUGUUUGAUCUUAGCUUCCAGCUUUGGGUUGCUAAAGGAAGAGACUCUGGGAAGACCUGAAGAGAAGCUGGCAUAUCCCUAUUCCCGCUUGCUACUCUAGAGACUUCAGGGAGUUUGCCCCUAAGUGACAAUGAGAUCAUGAUCCAGGACUGACUCUCUGUCUUCCUCUCUCUCUAACUGUUCUCUUUUCUUUGUUAUGAUUCAGAU